rnacentral:rRNA from 1 species
AACCCUGAUGCAGCAACGCCGCGUGAGUGAAGAAGGCAUUCUGUCGUAAAACUCUGUAGUAGGGGAAGAAAGAAAUGACAGUACCCUAAAAGAAAGCCCCGGCUAACUACGUGCCAGCAGCCGCGGUAAUACGUAGGGGGCAAGCGUUAUCCGGAAUAACUGGGCGUAAAGGGUGCGCAGGUGGUUAAACAAGUUAGUGGUGAAAGGCAUAGGCUCAACCAAUGUAAGCCAUUAAAACUGUUUAACUUGAGUGCAGGAGAGGAAAGUGGAAUUCCUAGUGUAGCGGUGAAAUGCGUAGAUAUUAGGAGGAAUACCAGUGGCGAAGGCGACUUUCUGGACUGCAACUGACACUGAGGCACGAAAGCGUGGGGAGCAAACAGGAUUAGAUACCCUGGUAGUCCACGCCGUAAACGAUGAGUACUAGGUGUCGGGUGAAGAACUCGGUGCCGAAGUUAACACAUUAAGUACUCCGCCUGGGGAGUACGCUCGCAAGAGUAAAACUCAAAGGAAUUGACGGGGACCCGCACAAGCAGCGGAGCAUGUGGUUUAAUUCGAAGCAAGCGAAGAACCU